rnacentral:rRNA from 1 species
GACGAACGCUGGCGGCGUGCUUAACACAUGCAAGUCGAACGGGUCUGCCCUGUUUUUUGCGGGGUGGGUCAGUGGCGAACGGGUGAGUAACACGUGAGUAACCUGCCCCUCACUUCUGGAUAACCGCUUGAAAGGGUGGCUAAUACGGGGUGUUCUGGCUGUGCCGCAUGGUGUGGCUGGGAAAGAUUCACUUUUGUGGUGUUUUGGUGGGGGAUGGGCUCGCGGCCUAUCAGCUUGUUGGUGGGGUGAUGGCCUGCCAAGGCUUUGACGGGUAGCCGGCCUGAGAGGGUGGGCGGUCACACUGGGACUGAGAUACGGCCCAGACUCCUGCGGGAGGCAGCAGUGGGGGGUAGUGCACAAUGGGCGGAAGCCUGAUGCAGCGACGUCGCGUGAGGGAUGGAGGCCUUCGGGUUGUGAACCUCUUUCGCCGGUGAAGGAGGUCCUGCUCUUUGUGGUGGGGUUGACGGUAGCCGGGUUAUGAAGCGCCGGCUAACUACGUG